UCUCGGCCCUCACACCCCUCCCGGCCCUCGGGCCCCCCCGGCCCUGCCUCGGGCGGUACCGGAGCGCUGUUUGUUUCCUUCUGGGAGCCCGUGAGGCUUCUCGGUGCUGUCGUGUAGCCUUUUGGAGCCGAUCCCAGCAUCGUUACCGCAUUAAAAGUCGAUUUCAUUAACCUUUAGCGGCCUUAGGGGUAAAGUGCUUGUUUUCUAGUGGCUGCUUCCCCACAGCUGUGUUUGGUUGAACUGGAGCAUGGAGCCCAUCUCCCUGCCAGAACCAGGCAGUCCUGCGGGAAACAGCUCAUCUGUGGCACAGGAAAAAUUCCGUGUGCUGGUGGGAGUGACUGGAAGCGUGGCUGCCCUCAAGCUGCCCCUGCUCGUUGCAGAAUUGCUGAAAAUCCCUGGGCUUGAGGUGAAGGUGGUCACUACUGAGAGAGCAAAACAUUUCUACAGUGUCCAGGAGAUUCCCGUGGCCCUCUAUGGUGAUGAAGAGGAGUGGCAGCUGUGGAAGGGCCGCUCAGACCCCGUCCUGCACAUUGAGCUCCGGCGCUGGGCUGACCUCAUGGUGGUGGCACCUCUGGACGCCAACACGCUGGCCAAGGUGGCCAAUGGCAUCUGUGACAACCUGCUGACUUGUGUCAUCCGCGCGUGGGACCUGAGCAAACCCCUGCUCUUCUGCCCAGCCAUGAACACGGCCAUGUGGGAGCAUCCCAUCACAGCUCGGCAGGUGGAGCAGCUGAAGGCCUUUGGCUACACGGAGAUCCCCUGUGUGGUGAAGAAACUCGUGUGUGGAGAUGAAGGCACUGGAAAUUGCUGCAUGGGAAGAGAGGUGUCUGAAGGUGAUGAAUGGUUUUGCUGUGUUUGCCAAGCAGAUGGGCAUCAAAAUACCUGGGCUUGCCCUUCCUGGCUGGAAGAGUGAAAUUCCCUAAAACAGCUCACAAAUGCAGGCCAAAUCGGGAGUUUCAGGAGAAAAAGAGGAAGGUUGGAGGUGCCAUUGCAGAGGAAGGGAGAGGCCUGGCUCAGCAGUCUGAGUUGAUGUCUCCUGUGCCAGCAGGACUGAUGCCUCAGCAAGGAGCUACUCUGAUCAUCUGAGGCCCUAAGGCAGAGAUGAAUGACAGUGGAAGUUGAGAGAAGGAAAUUCCCAGGAAAAAGAACAAAACAGCAGGUAAUUGCUCAGAGAACAGGUAGAAACUCCCCUGUCUGCGGCAGAGAAGUGUAAGAGUGAGAAAAUGUUGAAAUUUAGCUUUCAGAGUCCAGCUGGAUGCCUGGCAGCAGUGAUGUGGCCAAACUGGGAUGAGGAAAGGUGUUUCUUGAGUAAAGUUAUGUAAAUGUUGAGCCUUAAAGGGAUUAUCUGCCAUUUUGAGGGAAUUGUGAUCCUGUUCAGCGAGGCAAAAAUUAACACUGAUCAUUUUAAUACUCAUAAUGCCAAAUAACAAGCUGUAUUAUCCACGCAUUUGCUCGUUUUAAUGCAUAAUAACUGCUCUUUGUUGCACACUAAUAUAGAGCAUCUCAUAAUUGAAUGUAAUAACCAUUCUCUAAUUGCAUUACCAUUUGACCAAAGACAAUAUUAAUUAAUAUCGCCUGAUCGAUGAGCUCCAGACAAAGCAGUGGUGUGUAAACUUUGGAGCCAAGGGACUGGAAAUUCAGCGCCAGCUCCUCCCAGAUCCUUGCUUUCUUUGAGGCUGCCGCAAAACUGCUAUAAAUUAAAGCUGUGAGUGGAAAAUAAUGCUUGUGAGGCCAAGGAGAGAAGAAUUUAAACCGUGCUUUCUCGGUCUUUGUUCAGUGAAGUAAUAAAAAAGUGGAAUUUUUUCUUUUUCACUUAGAAAUCUUUUAUUUGGCCCUGCCUGAGGGAGCCGAGCCUCUGCCACUGCUUCACUCCACGGCCUUGGGCAACGCACUUGAUCCGCCAGGAUCUGUGUCACUGGGUUAAUCAUAUUUACGUGCCUUUUAUGAGGGUUAAUGAUUAGUUUGGGAAUGUUUGCAUGGACUUUUCCAGACGCGACUCCUUAGAUAAAGGCUCCGUG